rnacentral:rRNA from 5 species
UUGACCUCAAAUCAGGUAGGGCUACCCGCUGAACUUAA